rnacentral:rRNA from 1 species
GACGAACGCUGGCGGCGUGCCUAAUACAUGCAAGUCGAACGCAUUUUCUUUCACCGUAGCUUGCUACACCGAAAGAAAAUGAGUGGCGAACGGGUGAGUAACACGUGGGUAACCUGCCCAUCAGCGGGGGAUAACACUUGGAAACAGGUGCUAAUACCGCAUAAUUCCAUUUACCGCAUGGUAAAUGGAUGAAAGGCGCUUUUGCGUCACUGAUGGAUGGACCCGCGGUGCAUUAGCUAGUUGGUGGGGUAACGGCCUACCAAGGCUGCGAUGCAUAGCCGACCUGAGAGGGUGAUCGGCCACACUGGGACUGAGACACGGCCCAGACUCCUAAGGGAGGCAGCAGUAGGGAAUCUUCGGCAAUGGACGCAAGUCUGACCGAGCAACGCCGCGUGAGUGAAGAAGGUUUUCGGAUCGUAAAACUCUGUUGUUAGAGAAGAACAAGGAUGAGAGUGGAAAGUUCAUCCCUUGACGGUAUCUAACCAGAAAGCCACGGCUAACUACGUG